AUUUCUCUUCUGCAGCUCCAAAAUACAGAGGCUAUGAACUGGCUUCUCUGUUCCUAACUUUGGCCAUCCAAAAGUCUAAGCUGCAUGUCCGUGCUUCCAACUUUGUCAAGAGACCAGAGAGGAAAAAAAAAAGCUAUCAAGCUAUCAGAGCACAAUUUGUCCACAUUAUUUUUAGGGAGAAACAUAAUCACCCUGUGUGGAAUAACAGCUCUUUCAGAGAGUUUCUCUACUAUUCCUAGCAUCGAAAUGGACAUUGGCUUUAAUGAAAGCAGAGUCUGACCCUCAUGGCUGUUGCUUCAUGUCCCAUUACAUGACCAGUUUGAAUUCCUUCCACCGGUUAGCUCUCUGUGAAGUUCCAAGAUUUAAACUGGCAAUUCUGAGAACGCUCAAGGACAGGCAAAGAAUCCUUCAUGUUGAGAUGAGGAAAGGGGUGUAUUUGAGAGAAAGGGCCAUCAAGAGAGGAUCAUCAAGGCACCACAUCUGGGGCUGGGAGACCUCUGCUCAAUUUUCACCUCCAGCAACUUUUCCUGACUUGGUGUGA
rnacentral:lncRNA from 1 species